rnacentral:sRNA from 1 species
AGCAGGUGUCAGCGUUGUGUCCAGUGUAGCCGCAAUGAGAACAUUGAACUUUUGGCUUUGAAUUAGCAGGAAAUAACCUGGUCGCAUUCACGGCAAACUGAUCAUUAUGUGAAACCGAAAUGUUGAAUGUGGAAGCAUUGGUUGGUACUGUGACAAUGUUGCAUUGACUGUGAUAAAAAGGUUGUAAAUCUCUGCCAGGUCCGAAUAGUUGAGUAAGAAUCAUUCAGGCCUGAGAGAAACUUAAAAAUCUUGGCAUGCUUGGCAACAGAGUAAGUAGCAGUACAACAUUUGCAAUUUUGGCAAGUAUUGACACAACUAGCUCCAUCCAAGUCAUCCCACAGAUUCUUCAAUGCGGUGUAGUGCACUUCGACCUAAGGACUUGGUUGUCGAAUUGGAAUUUCCCGUCCCAAUCCAGAGGAAUCUUGAAGCACACGUAACCGCCUCGAGGGCACUUCAACCUAAGGACUUGAAAAAAGUCAACCGUGGCGUGACAAAGAAGCAUGCCGUCGAUCCGGUGGUAUGCGCACCUUUACCAGAAACAAAUAUUCAAUUUUUAGUAACGAGAAAGUUAUAUAUCCUAAUUAAAUAAAAGGAUUUUGUUUUUACAUUAACCUGCUAAGAAGCACAAGGUCUCGGUUUGUAAGACCUUGCUCUCUGAACUUUGCUUUCAAAGUUGCGAUAGAGUCUUGAGCGUCUGGCAACUUCUCAGCGUUUUUUACAUUCGAGAUCCGACCAUCGUUUCGGCCUGUCGGAACCUCGUAGAAGGAUCCUUUCGCCUAUUGUAUACAAAUUUGAUGUUAGAUAACCCGUCAAUGUACGUAUAAUAAAGAACAUUGAGCAUUUUUUAAAAUUAUAUUUGUGGGGUAUAUUACUGUUAUAAUGGCGUCUCUGGCAGCUAUAGCGAUGAUGUCCGCACACGACACAACAUCGGGGCAAGACCGCUCAACGGCAGAUUUUACCUUGCCUAUAAUGUUGAAGCCUCCAACGCCGGCUAAGAACCUACUGAGGUAAUUUGGAAAGUAAGACAGUGGAGCAAGCCCGUGAAACUGAAUAACAUUUCCACAAUUUUUGCUUAUAUUUUGCUUAUAUUUUGCUUAUGUUUUGCAUAGAUUUUACCUUAAGUUGACAUGUCUAACCAAAGCAACCUACCUUUGAAGUUAGCACAAUAUCAUCAUUUUGUUGAUCCAGCUUACAAAGAAUUGUGUGUGACCAUUAAUUUUGAUAACAAAUACUUAUAUAAUAACUUUCUAUUUACAGAAAUAUUUGAAAAAUCACUAUAUUUUUAUUUGGAAACAUCUUGAUAAGAAACAAACUAGGAUUUAUUCAAAUCUUUUUUAUUUUCCGAUUCCAAUAUGGUGGGAUUGAAUAUCUAAUAGAUUAAUAGACGUAUAUGCAAUGCUACAAUAAUUGGUAUAAAUAUAUCUUUUCAUAAUUCAAAUUUGUUUAUUUUGUUAAACCAACAAACUCAAAUUGUUAUACUUAACUAUGUAUGAGAUCUUGGAAACUAGUUUGUAGCACUGCAUAAACGUCUAAUCUCUCCUUCAGCACCGAUUUUCACUCCGAUAGCACCCAUCUUUAUCAUGGCUUUAGUGAAAUCCGCAGCAAAAUUAGCCUUUGAACUUUGAUUAGUUUCUAAGUAUGAAUCAAUGAUUUUCUUCAUAUUAUUGUCUUGGUAUAAAACAGAGUCCGAUAGAAUGACACCUCUGCCAUUUUUGAUGUUUUGGAAGAUUUGGUUAUCAAACACAAAUUGGCUAUCCCAGUCCAACGGAAUCCUGACAUUAACAUCACCGCCUUGGGGACACUUUGACCUCAGGAUUUGAAAAAAUUCCGGGUUUAUCGUAGGAUCUUGAGCAUCUAAACGUGGUAUGACAAAGAAGCAAGCCGUUGUACCAAUAGUAUGUGCACCUUUAACAAAAAUAAAAUUCGAGUAAGCAAGAUAGUGUUUUUUUUGUCUUUUCAAAAUAGUAUUUAAUCAAGUUGUUGAGAUUAUGAUAAAUACCAGCACUAAGAAGUACAAGAUCUUGAUCUGAAAGCCCUUUUUCUCUAAAUUUUGAUUUCAAAGUAUUUAUGGAAUCUUGAACAUCUGGCAAGUUCUUAGCAUGAUCAACAUUUGCAAUCAGACCGUCUCUCCGACCGGUUGGAACUUCAUAAAAUGGUCCUUUUGCCUAAUAAGUUAAUAUUUAAUAUCAAAGGAUCUUAUUUAACCCAACACAUAUACAUCGUACGUGUAUUAAAAAAAAAGUU